CCAGCCGCCGCGGUAAUUCCGGCUCCAAUAGCGUAUAUUUGAGUUGUUGCAGUUAAAAAGCUCGUAGUUGGAUUUCGGGCGGGUGACGGCGGUCCGCCUCUGGUGUGCACUGCUGCUCAUCCGCCUUACUGUCGGGGACGGGCUCCUGGGCUUCACUGUCCGGGACCCGGGUUCGACAUGGUUACUUUGAGUAAAUUAGAGUGUUCAAAGUAGGCGUUCGCCCUGAAUACAUUAGCAUGGAAUAGCACCAUAGGACUCUGGCCUAUUCUGCUGGGCUGUAGGACCAGAGUAAUGAUUAAGAGGGACAGUCGGGGGCAUUCGUAUUUCAUUGUCAGAGGUGAAAUUCUUGGAUUUAUGAAAGACGAACUUCUGCGAAAGCAUUUGCCAAGGAUGUUUUCAUUGAUCAAGAACGAAAGU
rnacentral:rRNA from 1 species